rnacentral:rRNA from 1 species
AGACUCGUAGCAGAUAGCUCAGUAACACGUGGCCAAACUACCCUAUAGAUCCAGACAACCUCGGGAAACUGAGGCUAAUCCGGAAUAGGGCUCUCAUCCUGGAGUGGAGAGAGCCUGAAACGCUCCGGCGCUAUAGGAUGUGGCUGCGGCCGAUUAGGUAGACGGUGGGGUAACGGCCCACCGUGCCAGUAAUCGGUACGGGUUGUGAGAGCAAGAGCCCGGAGACGGUAUCUGAGACAAGAUACCGGGCCCUACGGGGCGCAGCAGGCGCGAAACCUUUACACUGCACGCCAGUGCGAUAAGGGGACUCCAAGUGCGAGGGCAUAUAGUCCUCGCUUUUUGCGACCGUAAGGUGGUCGAGGAAUAAGUGCUGGGCAAGACCGGUGCCAGCCGCCGCGGUAAUACCGGCAGCACGAGUGAUGACCGCUGUUAUUGGGCCUAAAGCGUCCGUAGCUGGCCGCACAAGUCUAUCGGGAAAUCUCUCCGCUUAACGGAGAGGCGUCCGGUGGAAACUGUGUGGCUUGGGACCGGAAGACCAGAGGGGUACGUCUGGGGUAGGAGUG